GACGAACGCUGGCGGCGUGCUUAACACAUGCAAGUCGAACGGAAAGGCCCUGCUUUUGUGGGGUGCUCGAGUGGCGAACGGGUGAGUAACACGUGAGUAACCUGCCCUUGACUUUGGGAUAACUUCAGGAAACUGGGGCUAAUACCGGAUAGGAGCUCCUGCUGCAUGGUGGGGGUUGGAAAGUUUCGGCGGUUGUGGAUGGACUCGCGGCUUAUCAGCUUGUUGGUGGGGUAGUGGCUUACCAAGGCUUCGUCGGGUAGCCGGCCUGAGAGGGUGAACGGCGUCAAUGGGACUGAGAGACGGACCAGACGGGUACGGGAGGCAGCAGGGGGGAGUAUUGCACAAUGGGCGGAAGCCUGAUGCAACAACGCCGGGAGCGGGAUGACGACUUUGGGGUUGUAAACCGCUUUCGCCUGUGACGAAGCGUGAGUGACGGUAAUGGGUAAAGAAGCACCGGCUAACUACGUG
rnacentral:rRNA from 1 species